GACGAACGCUGGCGGCGUGCCUAAUACAUGCAAGUCGAACGCUUCUUUCCUCCCGAGUGCUUGCACUCAAUUGGAAAGAGGAGUGGCGGACGGGUGAGUAACACGUGGGUAACCUACCCAUCAGAGGGGGAUAACACUUGGAAACAGGUGCUAAUACCGCAUAACAGUUUAUGCCGCAUGGCAUAAGAGUGAAAGGCGCUUUCGGGUGUCGCUGAUGGAUGGACCCGCGGUGCAUUAGCUAGUUGGUGAGGUAACGGCUCACCAAGGCCACGAUGCAUAGCCGACCUGAGAGGGUGAUCGGCCACACUGGGACUGAGACACGGCCCAGACUCCUACGGGAGGCAGCAGUAGGGAAUCUUCGGCAAUGGACGAAAGUCUGACCGAGCAACGCCGCGUGAGUGAAGAAGGUUUUCGGAUCGUAAAACUCUGUUGUUGGAGAAGAACAAGGACGUUAGUAACUGAACGUCCCCUGACGGUAUCUAACCAGAAAGCCACGGCUAACUACGUG
rnacentral:rRNA from 1 species